rnacentral:rRNA from 1 species
GUCGGUAUGAGAAAUGGGCACG